AGCAGCCGCGGUAAUUCCAGCUCCAAUAGCGUAUAUUAAAGUUGUUGCAGUUAAAAAGCUCGUAGUUGAAUUUCGGGAUCAGUUGAUCGGUCGUGCCUCGGUACGUACUGGUCAAAUUGAUUCCUACCUUCUGACGAACCACGAUGUCAUUAAUUUGGUGUCGUGGGAAAUCAGGACUGUUACUUUGAAAAAAUUAGAGUGUUUAAAGCAGGCUCGCGCUUGAAUACAUUAGCAUGGAAUAAUGAAAUAGGACGUUUGAUUCUAUUUUGUUGGUUUCUAGGAUCGACGUAAUGAUUAAUAGGGAUAGUUGGGGGCAUUAGUAUUCAAUUGUCAGAGGUGAAAUUCUUGGAUUUAUUGAAGACUAACUACUGCGAAAGCAUUUGCCAAGGAUGUUUUCAUUAAUCAAGAACGAAAGUUAGGGGAUCGAAGACGAUCAGAUACCGUCGUAGUCUUAACCAUAAACUAUGCCGACUAG
rnacentral:rRNA from 1 species